AUUGAACGCUGGCGGCAGGCCUAACACAUGCAAGUCGAGCGAGCGGCGGACGGGUGAGUAAUGUAUGGGGACUGCCCGAUAGAGGGGGAUAACUACUGGAAACGGUAGCUAAUACCGCAUACUAUCGGAUAACCCAUAUGGGAUUAGCUAGUUGGUGAGGUAAUGGCUCACCAAGGCGACGAUCCCUAGCUGGUCUGAGAGGAUGAUCAGCCACACUGGGACGGAGAGACGGGCCAGACUCCGACGGAGGCAGCAGGGGGGAAUAUUGCACAAGGGGCGCAAGCCUGAUGCAGCCAUGCCGAGUGUAUGAAGAAGGCCUUCGGGUUGUAAAGUACUUUCAGCGAGGAGGCGUUACUCGCAGAAGAAGCACCGACUAACUCCGUGCCAGCCGCGGUAAUUC
rnacentral:rRNA from 1 species